GAUGAACGCUGGCGGCGUGCCUAAUACAUGCAAGUCGAGCGAGCCCUUCGGGGCUAGCGGCGGACGGGUGAGUAACACGUGGGUAACCUGCCUAUAAGACUGGGAUAACUUCGGGAAACCGUAGCUAAUACCGGAUAGAUUUUUGGUUCGCAUGAACCGAAAUGGAAAGAUGGCUUCUGCUAUCACUUAUAGAUGGACCCGCGGCGCAUUAGCUAGUUGGUGAGGUAACGGCUCACCAAGGCGACGAUGCGUAGCCGACCUGAGAGGGUGAUCGGCCACACUGGGACUGAGACACGGCCCAGACUCCUACGGGUGGCUG
rnacentral:rRNA from 1 species